CCUACGGGCGGCAGCAGUGAGGAAUAUUGGUCAAUGGACGAGAGUCUGAACCAGCCAAGUAGCGUGAAGGAUGACUGCCCUAUGGGUUGUAAACUUCUUUUAUAUGGGAAUAACAUGUUCCACGUGUGGGAUUUUGUAUGUACCAUAUGAAUAAGGAUCGGCUAACUCCGUGCCAGCAGCCGCGGUAAUACGGAGGAUCCGAGCGUUAUCCGGAUUUAUUGGGUUUAAAGGGAGCGUAGGUGGAUUGUUAAGUCAGUUGUGAAAGUUUGCGGCUCAACCGUAAAAUUGCAGUUGAAACGGUCAGUCUUGAGUACAGUAGAGGUGGGCGGAAUUCGUGGUGUAGCGGUGAAAUGCUUAGAUAUCACGAAGAACUCCGAUUGCGAAGGCAGUUCACUGGACUGCAACUGACACUGAGGCUCGAAAGUGUGGGUAUCAAACAGGAUUAGAUACCCUAGUAGUC
rnacentral:rRNA from 1 species